rnacentral:rRNA from 1 species
GAUGAACGCUAGCUACAGGCUUAACACAUGCAAGUCGAGGGGUAACGAGAGGAAAGCUUGCUUUCCUUGUCGACGACCGGCGCACGGGUGAGCAACGCGUAUCCAACCUGCCCCCAACUAGGGAAUAACCUUGCGAAAGUAAGACUAAUACCCUAUAAUUUCCUCAGAUGACAUCUGACGAGGAAUAAAGAUUUAUCGGUUGUGGAUGGGGAUGCGUCUGAUUAGCUUGUUGGCGGGGUAACGGCCCACCAAGGCAACGAUCAGUAGGGGUUCUGGGAGAGAGGUCCCCCACAUUGGAACUGAGACACGGUCCAAACUCCUACGGGAGGCAGCAGUGAGGAAUAUUGGUCAAUGGGCGGAAGCCUGAUCCAGCCAAGUAGCGUGCAGGAUGACGGACCUAUGGGUUGUAAACUGCUUUUAUACAGGAAUAAAGUUAGCCACGUGUGGUUAUUUGUAGGUACUGUAUGAAUAAGGACCGGCUAAUUCCGUGCCAGCAGCCGCGGUAA